CUCGCGCACGCCAGAAGCAGCUCGGGGUCUCUCCGCCGCCCCUUGGCCAUGGCCGCUGUGCCGACGGCGCCCGCUCCCCUGCGCUCCAGGGGCCCCCGCCGCUGCAGCCGCAGCCGCCGCAGCUUCUGAGCCCAAGGGGCCGCCGCUGCAGCCGCCGCCGCCGCCGCUCGCCCGCCCGGAUCCCGCCUGCGGCAGUUGCCGCACAACAUGCUACCUGCGGCCGCCCCGGCGGCUCCUGGAACCCCGGUUCGCGGCGAUGCCAGCCACCCCAGCGAAGCCGCCGCAGUUCAGUGCUUGGAUAAUUUGAAAGUACAAUAGUUGGUUUCCCUGUCCACCCGCCCCACUUCGCUUGCCAUCACAGCACGCCUAUCGGAUGUGAGAGGAGAAGUCCCGCUGCUCGGGCACUGUCUAUAUACGCCUAACACCUACAUAUAUUUUAAAAACAUUAAAUAUAAUUAACAAUCAAAAGAAAGAGGAGAAAGGAAGGGAAGCAUUACUGGGUUACUAUGCACUUGCGACUGAUUUCUUGGCUUUUUAUCAUUUUGAACUUUAUGGAAUACAUCGGCAGCCAAAACGCCUCCCGGGGAAGGCGCCAGCGAAGAAAAUGCAAAGCUGACUGUGAUACCUGUUUCAACAAAAAUUUCUGCACAAAAUGUAAAAGUGGAUUUUACUUACACCUUGGAAAGUGCCUUGACAAUUGCCCAGAAGGGUUGGAAGCCAACAACCAUACUAUGGAGUGUGUCAGUAUUGUGCACUGUGAGGUCAGUGAAUGGAAUCCUUGGAGUCCAUGCACGAAGAAGGGAAAAACAUGUGGCUUCAAAAGAGGGACUGAAACACGGGUCCGAGAAAUAAUACAGCAUCCUUCAGCAAAGGGUAACCUGUGUCCCCCAACAAAUGAGACAAGAAAGUGUACAGUGCAAAGGAAGAAGUGUCAGAAGGGAGAACG
rnacentral:lncRNA from 1 species